CUUUCGCGUUCGACGUUUGACUCGUGCUAGGAAGAGAAUGGUAACCCGAUGGAUCGAAUAAUCGCAGAGGAAUCAUUCCCAACCAUCCAGGCAGUGUGUGGGUGUACGCGUGUGCGACUGGUCGAUACUGGCGUCGGCUGCUGGUACAGCUGUGCAUUUCUCUUUUACGCACCGUCCCCAGAAACGGUCCUUGCUCUCACUGUCUGAUCCGAUCCCUUAACAUCGCGUCACCUCAAAUGGUAUCGCACAUCUACAUAACCUAUAGUACACGCUGCGUGUCCGAGCCGACAGUUCCCCUGUGAUUAACAUAAUCGGACAGACAACGAAUACACCGCUAAAUAAAUUGUGACACCCUGGGCACGUCUCAAUUUUAUAGCGUUCUCGUUCCGAGAUACAGCUACGAUCGUAAUCCAAUGAAUCGUGUGCACGAUCGACGUCACCGCGUUCCACUUUUGUCGCUCGCAGAUAAUGAACAAUAUCUUCUUGCCUUCUCUCGAUUGGUAUAUAUAUACCAAUGUACAUAUACCAAUGGUAUAUUCAUUCACGUUCGUCCGUAGCAUUUUAGAAUUUUAUUGAAACAUGAGACAUCGUUGACUAAAGUAAGAUGUGAUCUAAUUGUGUAUCAUGGAUGCAAGGAAAAUUGCGAUUAAUCAUGUUAAUUUGUUGAUUAAACACUAGACGGGUCUAAAAAAAUAAAGAGAAUAAUUUAGUUGUAUUCGCUACAGUUCUUAAAUACGAUUGAAACAUCUCUAUGAAUUGUGUGUGAUCUUUACAAUGAAUUUCCGUUUACUGGGGUUCUUUUCGUUUAGAAAUUCAGAACACACAGAAGAUGGAAGAAAGUAAAACAGUAGGUUGGAAGGCUUGUUUCUAAACGAAAACUAUCUGGCCACUAUCCAACCUGGCUGUCGUCCACGUGUUGCAUCUGACACAGUGUUGCAGCAACGGGUGCUGUGCAACAAUGCAGAAACGUUUGAGGACAUACCACUGCAGACGAAUCUGUUGCACGACAUAAAACAUAAUCUAUGCAACAUGCUUAUGUAUUUCCGAUUACUAACAUUAAUGAAGUAAUUAGGGAAAGGAAACUCUUUAUAACUGACGUAGAGUGAACAUUAAGAAUAAUUAAUUAAUUAGAAAUAAAACCUGUACAAAUCUGUAAUGAGAAUAUGGCACAAGAAUGCGUUCUAGAUUCUUUCAUUGUAAAAGUAUACGAUUAUUAUUAAUGUUUGUUUAAGUUCAAAUAAAAUCGAAUUGAGAGGUA